rnacentral:tRNA from 1 species
AUUACUUUGGCAGAUAAGUGUAAUAAAUUUAGAAUUUAAAUAUGUAUAUGUUGAGAUAUAUGCAAGUAAUA